UGGGGAAUAUUGCACAAUGGGCGCAAGCCUGAUGCAGCCAUGCCGCGUGUAUGAAGAAGGCCUUCGGGUUGUAAAGUACUUUCAGUCGGGAGGAAGGUGUCAAGGUUAAUAACCUUGGCAAUUGACGUUACCGACAGAAGAAGCACCGGCUAACUCCGUGCCAGCAGCCGCGGUAAUACGGAGGGUGCAAGCGUUAAUCGGAAUUACUGGGCGUAAAGCGCACGCAGGCGGUUGAUUGAGUCAGAUGUGAAAUCCCCGGGCUUAACCCGGGAAUUGCAUCUGAUACUGGUCAGCUAGAGUCUUGUAGAGAGUGGUAGAAUUCCAUGUGUAGCGGUGAAAUGCGUAGAGAUGUGGAGGAAUACCGGUGGCGAAGGCGGCCCCCUGGACAAAGACUGACGCUCAGGUGCGAAAGCGUGGGGAGCAAACAGG
rnacentral:rRNA from 1 species